AUCUAUUUCCCCCCCACAGUAGAGUCCAUGGGCUAGAUCAGAAAUUGGUACAGUACCAUCUGUCACAUGGCACCACUAAGUAGCAAGGCAGAACACAAUGGAGGGUGGGGUCCACCUGUCGUAGGGAAAGCGGGUGGUGAAAAUUAGAGACACCUGCAACAAGCAAGGUGUCAAUCGCCAUUAGUGCGGCCGGUAUCCUGUAAAUAGGGACCCACACACACACCCACCCCACCCGAAUAUAGCGGGGGGGGGGGGGGGUGAAUGUAGGAAGACCCCAGCUAUAUCUGCUCUCGAGCUUCAGCCAGCAGGGGACAGGAGCGGGUCCUCUAAAACAACCACGCGUCCAGCUUGGACGCCCCGGUAGGGAGCCAGGGACGGGCAGAGGAGCGCAGGAAGGCUGCCUUUGACUCUACCCUGUUGUGGCAAGUAGCCAGGAGGCGUCGGUGGCAGGCCGGCGGAGGCCAACGGCGAGCAACUUCGAGCGGUCACCUCGAAGUCGGCUUUCUUAUGAAAGUAGCUCAAAAGUGGUACCGACAAAGGCAAAUACACGGUAUGGACACGUGGGGGCAAUGGCCACUCCACGCGGACGUGAGUGCUGCUGUUUAUCUCCUGCAGGUGGCAGUGUGUACACAUGCACGACCAGGCUCUGCCUGUCAAAUGAUUAAACGUUAAACCAGAA